GCUUUUGUAGUGUAAUAUAACACAUUACAUUUUCAAUGUAAAGAUAAGAAUUCAUUCUUUUAAAGUA
rnacentral:tRNA from 1 species